GGCCACACUGGAACUGAGACACGGUCCAGACUCCUACGGGAGGCAGCAGUGGGGAAUUUUGCGCAAUGGGCGAAAGCCUGACGCAGCAACGCCGCGUGGGUGACGAAGUCCCUUGGGACGUAAAACCCUGUCAGAUGGGACGAAAAAGCCCGCAAGGGUAACUGACUGUACCAUCAGAGGAAGCCCCGGCUAACUCCGUGCCAGCAGCCGCGGUAAUACGGGGGGGGCAAGCGUUGUUCGGAAUUACUGGGCGUAAAGGGCGUGUAGGCGGCCCGGCAAGUCAGUUGUGAAAUCCCCAGGCUCAACUUGGGAAUUGCAACUGAAACUGCCAGGCUGGAGUUCAGGAGAGGAGAGCGGAACUCCCAGUGUAGCGGUGAAAUGCGUAGAUAUUGGGAGGAACACCGGUGGCGAAGGCGGCUCUCUGGACUGAAACUGACGCUGAGGCGCGAAAGCUAGGGGAGCAAACGGGAUUAGAUACCCCGGUAGUCCUAGCCGUAAACGAUGGACACUGGGUGUUGGAGGUAUUGAGUCCUCCAGUGCCGAAGUUAACACAUUAAGUGUCCCGCCUGGGGAGUACGGUCGCAAGACUGAAACUCAAAGGAAUUGACGGGGGCCCGCACAAGCGGUGGAGCAUGUGGUUCAAUUCGACGCAACGCGAAGAACCUUACCGGGGCUCGAACGGCGCAUGAAUCUUCCUGAAAGGGAAGCGUGCCUUCGGGUACAUGUGCCGAGGUGCUGCAUGGCUGUCGUCAGCUCGUGUCGUGAGAUGUUGGGUUAAGUCCCGCAACGAGCGCAACCCUUACCCUUAGUUGCCAGCGGGUUAUGCCGGGCACUCUAGGGGAACUGCCGGCGAAAAGCCGGAGGAAGGUGGGGAUGACGUCAAGUCCUCAUGGCCUUUAUGUCCCGGGCUACACACGUGCUACAAUGGAUGAUACAGAGGGUUGCCAAACCGCGAGGUGGAGCUAAUCCCAGAAAGUCAUCCUCAGUUCGGAUUGCAGUCUGCAACUCGACUGCAUGAAGUUGGAAUCGCUAGUAAUCGCGGAUCAGCAUGCCGCGGUGAAUACGUUCCCGGGCCUUGUACACACCGCCCGUCACAUCACGAAAGUGGGUUGUACUAGAAAUCGCCAGGCUAACCCGCAAGGGAGGCAGGCGCUUAAGGUAUGAUUCAUGAUUGGGGUGAAGUCGUAACAAGGUAGCCGUAGGAGAACCUGUGGCUG
rnacentral:rRNA from 1 species